rnacentral:lncRNA from 1 species
AGGAGGUAAAGCUGUCAAAUAGGGUGCAGGAAAGGUUAAAGAAGCCAAUAAAUAUUUCUGUUCUGGUUUGGAAAGAACCAGCAUGAUAACAAUCACACCUGACAGUGGUGAGGACUACUUCUUGAUCAAUAAACUGGGAGAUCAUUAAAUGACAACUGUCAGAACUAAAGGGUUUUUUGAAUUUACAGGAUGAGAUAACUUGCACCCAGGUAUUUAAAGGGUUUGUUGGGAAACUCCCUCAACCAUGAUGCUGAUUUAAAAAAAGAAAAAAAAAAACAGAACGGGGAAGAAGCUCCAGAGGAUUAAAGCAAACUCAAUGCACAGAUAAUCCAGGCUGGUACUUCUGCUCCUGUCUUGUUUCAGAUGUACCCUGGCAGGGCCUGUGGGGACAGAGGGACCCCAGUGACAGCUGUCCUGUGCCAGGCAAUACAGGAAGGAAGAUAGAAAAAUAUGAGGACAACCCAAACCAGCAGUGAGAAAAUUGAGACAUUGUGCUACAGGCUGGAUUUUGUUCCUUGCAGAGGUCAAACCAGUGUCUGCUUGAAAAAUUCAUGAUCCAGAAAAGGUAAUUUUUAAUGAAUAUU